GUAAGAAUUCAUAUCAGAUUUCUUGAACUCCCUGUGUCACAAGCUCUGGUUCUCUUUCCUUCCUGUUUGUGACACCCUUGUGUUUUUGGCCUUAGAGAUAGUCUUUGUUUCAUACGUGCAGUUUCUUGCCGUGUCUGGAUGUAGCAUAUCUAUAGUACUGUUUUCUGUUUUAGCUGCUGAAAUUAGACCCUCUUUACCUAACCCUUGUUAUGUAAUAAUUUAUUUCUUUGCUUUAAUCUUUCUUGCAUAUUUGUGACAUUAAAAUUUCCUUAA
rnacentral:lncRNA from 1 species